UACGUAGGGUGCAAGCGUUGUCCGGAAUUAUUGGGCGUAAAGAGCUCGUAGGCGGUCUGUCACGUCGGCUGUGAAAACCCGGGGCUCAACCCAGGGCCUGCAGUCGAUACGGGCAGACUAGAGUGCGGUAGGGGAGACUGGAAUUCCUGGUGUAGCGGUGAAAUGCGCAGAUAUCAGGAGGAACACCGGUGGCGAAGGCGGGUCUCUGGGCCGUAACUGACGCUGAGGAGCGAAAGCGUGGGGAGCGAACAGG
rnacentral:rRNA from 1 species